rnacentral:rRNA from 1 species
UACGGGGGGGGCAAGCGUUGUUCGGAAUUACUGGGCGUAAAGGGCUCGUAGGUGGCCAACUAAGUCGGACGUGAAAUCCCUCGGCUUAACCGGGGAACUGCAUCCGAUACUGGAUGGCUUGAGUUCGGGAGAGGGAUGCGGAAUUCCAGGUGUAGCGGUGAAAUGCGUAGAUAUCUGGAGGAACACCGGUGGCGAAGGCGGCAUCCUGGACCGACACUGACGCUGAGGAGCGAGAGCGUGGGGAGCGAACCGG